CCGGGCGCGGUGGCGCGUGCCUGUAGUCCCAGCUACUCGGGAGGCUGAGGCUGGAGGAUCGCUUGAGUCCAGGAGUUCUGGGCUGUAGUGCGCUAUGCCGAUCGGGUGUCCGCACUAAGUUCGGCAUCAAUAUGGUGACCUCCCGGGAGCGGGGGACCACCAGGUUGCCUAAGGAGGGGUGAACCGGCCCAGGUCGGAAACGGAGCAGGUCAAAACUCCCGUGCUGAUCAGUAGUGGGAUCGCGCCUGUGAAUAGCCACUGCACUCCAGCCUGGGCAACAUAGCGAGACCCCGUCUCU
rnacentral:SRP_RNA from 2 species